rnacentral:ncRNA from 1 species
CAUUAUGAGAGUUUGAUCCUGGCUCAGGACGAACGCUGGCGGCGUGCCUAAUACAUGCAAGUCGAACGCUUUUUCUUUCACCGGAGC